rnacentral:ncRNA from 1 species
GAAACGGCAAUGAAAAGAAGAGUACAUUUUCGGAGGCGGCAAAGAGAGCUUCAGAUGGUGAGAAGAAGUGCGUAGAAGAAAAUGGAAGAUGGUCUUGGAGCCUCGCACCGACUGCAGAAUCUGCACAGGCUGCGAUGGGAGCGCCCAUUACAGCGCCAGGAUAUAAGAAAUGCAUGGCAUUUCCGUAUCUGUCAGAGGUUUCUGGUUUACAGAAAUGAAAUAAGGUGGUACCACGAAGUAGAUAUACUCUCGUCCUUAGU